rnacentral:rRNA from 1 species
GAUGAACGCUAGCUACAGGCUUAACACAUGCAAGUCGAGGGGCAGCAUUAGGUAGCAAUACUGAGAUGGCGACCGGCGCACGGGUGCGUAACGCGUAUCCAACCUUCCCGUUACUCUCGGAUAGCCUUCCGAAAGGGAGAUUAAUACGAGAUGGUGUUUGAAUUCCGCAUGUUAUUCAAACUAAAGAUUUAUCGGUAACGGAUGGGGAUGCGUGACAUUAGGUAGAUGGCGGGGUAACGGCCCACCAUGCCCACGAUGUCUAGGGGUUCUGAGAGGAAGGUCCCCCACACUGGAACUGAGACACGGUCCAG